GCAUUGGUGGUUCAGUGCUAGAAUUCUUGCCUUUCAUGCAGGAGACCUGGGUUCUAUUCCCAGCCAAUGCG
rnacentral:tRNA from 1 species